rnacentral:lncRNA from 1 species
UAACAUGUGCAACAGGAUGCAGUUGGUGGUCUAUAAAAGGGCACUACCACCUCAAGCAUACCCAAGCCAAUUUUCUUUGCAGAAACCAUUGAUUAAGAACAGUGUAGCUCUCAAACAAUGGGUCGUAGCAGUUUGUUUAUCCUUUUUCCUCUUCUGCUUCUGACAUUUUCAUCCAUCACAAGGGUUGCAGAAGCACGUCUCACCACAAAAAUACUCUUUCCACCGGAAGAUGACAUUCCUGAUGUGGAAGUUACACUCCCAAUUAAUAUCACACUCCCUGAGCUUGAGUUUCCUAAACUGCCAAUUCCCGACGUAAUUUUUGUUGAGGACGCCAAAAAAACCCCAUGAGUGCCUACACUUCCUCAAAUCUAUCAGUAAUAAUAUCUUCUUCAUUUGCUCCUACUCACUUCUGCAUCUUCAAUGUACUAUUUAUAAAUUUGUUGUUGUUGUUGCAGUAAUUCCAAGGUGGUUCUGUCGGCUGCUUUAUGUGUCCUUCAAUUACUUGUCAUGUUCAGUUUAUAUGUUGUUUCAGACAGUUUUACUGAAGCAUAAUAAUUAUUGUGAUUCGUGAUGUUGUAUCGGACUUCUUGUCUUCUACUUCAAUAAAUUACUGAAUUUCUUUUGUUUGGUAGAAAUCUUCCAUUUCUGAAUUCUCUGACUGUUGUGGAAGCACAAGUUCCUUUCAUUGUCACUUAAUUAAGCUAUUUUUAAGCUUCAUCUGUUUUCUCUUUUGGCACGAUUCGUUUAUCAUCUA